rnacentral:misc_RNA from 1 species
GCUUAUCAGGCAGAGGCAUAUCAGAUGAGCUUAUAAAAUUUUUAUUUUGGUUUUACACUAGGAUGUUCGCCUAGUGCUUUGUUGAUUUUAAAAAUUUAGCCACCUAUUUAUGUUCUACUACUGAUUACAAAUGUUUAAAUUUCCAGUUGUGUUAGAAAAUUGUGAGUUCUACGAUAAAUAUUUUUUGACAAAAUCACUGGAGUGUACCUUGAUGAAAUAGGUACUUGCGAGGCAUAAUGAUGGUGCUUACAUCUCAUCUGACAUAUUAUGUUAUGAUGGUAGUACUGUAUUAUUGGUUUGAAACUUUGAAAUAUGAUGACUUUAGCUCUGUGUUGCAAUGACAUUGGAAGGAAAUAUUAUGUAAAUCAGGAGAAAUAUAAGAGGCAAAGUAGUCAUAACAAAAUAUAUAUUUCCAUCACUUGGGGGCUGGGCUUGAUAGCAUUUGUUGUUUGUAAAGGUUCUGGCCAUGAAAUGUGUUCAAGUGGUCAACUAGUGAGAGAUUGUUUUCAAAUACCCCCCACUAACUAUCAAAACUUGGGGAAAACAACAGAAUAAGAAGAAGCAUGAAUUUCAUAUUGCUAAAAUACUGGCUUCACUCUUUGUAUGCUCAAAGUGCUGAUGUUUUUCACUCUGUUUGGAAGAAUCGUUUUUGUAGACAAUAGAUUGCCUAAUGUUUUGAAUUGUCAUCGUAUUAUUGACUUGAAAUUAAAAUAUUUGGCUACAAUUUUCUUGUAAUGUGAUGACACAGUCAUUUACUUAUUUUCUAUAUCCUAUAAAUUUUUGGGUUGGCAGGGUUAGAAGGCCGGUGGUGAACAUCCUAUCUUUCAUGGUGAGGGUUGAUUCACAGAAG